ensembl:lncRNA novel transcript
CACACCUGCUGGUCUCACCGCUAGGGCCUGGGCAUCACAGGCAGGGGGAAUGGGGAGGGGACGGUAGCGUCAGCCUACACCCACACGCAGUUUCCUGAUAAAAGGUCCUUUGGAAACUUUGAUUCUCUUCUCACCAAGUUGAACGGAGAUGUGUUCCCAUAGUAAGAGUGAGGCCCCUGCAUUUGCUGCCCUCGGUUUUCCCAACUAACACCAGGGCCUCCCCCCUGUACCCCAUUCAUAUGCCUCAGAAGCUGACAAUGACUGUUGGGCUUUUCCAAUGAAUACCAGAACACCAUUUCCUGCAGCCUGAAAAGAAGACAGUAUAAUUGUUUGGCAGCAAGAGAAUCCAGGUGCCCUUCCAUGAGAAGCCCAAGCCAUGUGGAGAAGCCACGUCUAGGGACUCCAGUUAACACUCUCAGCUGAGUCCCCAGCUGACAGUCAGCAUCAACUGCCAGCCACCUCUGUCUAAAAGUGGGCUAUCUUGGGCAUCCAGCCCAGUCAAGCCUUCAGAUGAGUCCAGUCCCAGCCACUAUCUCACACAACCACACGAGAGACAUCAAGAACUCCCAGUGGAGUCCAGUCAGCCCAUGGAACUGCAAGAGACAGGAUCUCGCUGCGUUGCUCAGACUGGUCUCGAACUCCUGGGCUUAAGGGAUUCUCCUGCCUCAAUCACAGCCUCCCAAGUAGCUGAGAUUAAAAGUGCUCACCACCGUGCCAGCGAGUUCAGUUUUUGAGAUAAGGGGAAAUUGGAGCUCAGAGAUUUAAGCCACCUGCCAGAGGUCACAUGGCCCAUAAAAGAUCUGUCCCAUUCCACCAAGGAUUUAAGGCUAAAGAUUUAAGUUGUGAAGAUGAUAAUGGAUUGACUCUAUGAAUGGCCACAUUUUUUUAUGCCUCCCUUUUCCCUUGUCCUCGGGCAGUGUCCUCCGACACUGACUCUGUGCUUGGCCCUGUGACUUGCUUUGGCCAAUGGUACAGCAGCAAACUUGAUGCAAACACAACUUGAAAAAGAAGAGGACAGCCAAGUCAUCCCAGCCAAGGCCACCCUGGACCAGCCAGCCUCUUGCCAAGCUGCCAGUGACCACAGAGUCCAAUUAACAACAGCCAGUCCUGGCCCAGGCCAAGCUCAUAUGCCAAUUUCCUCAUGGAACCUUUCACUCCUCCAUCUCUUCGCCAAGUUGAAAUGUUAACUUCUGCUUCUCUGGGAUACUUCGGACCUUUGUUUAAAGCUCUCCCAUCUGCUUUCUGCGCUAUGUUUAGGGUUAUGUCUGGAUGGGAAUAGGUCUGUCUCUUGCCACUACUGGUAAAAUUGGUUCUUGCUUAGCAUGAUGUGGGCUCCCCACAUCUGGCACAGUGACUUGCGCAGGGUGGAGCCAAGACUCUGAGGAGAGGGCUGAACUGUGAACCUAGAAGUACCAUCUCCCCCUGCACACACCUUUGGUCAAGUUGACCCCAAGAAGAAGGACAAGUCCUCUGCACGGCGAUGAGGCCAUACACACAGUCUGUGGCCCGGCUUUGGGAGACUGAUGGGACAAAGGAUGUUUUGCACGAUCCUUGGUCUCUGAGCAAAUAUAUACAUGGGUUAACACAAA